ensembl:lncRNA
CUCUCAGAAAACCGGCUUUUGUACGCUCAGGCUGACAGGCUUUUGAUGUAAGCAGUUUGAGAUUAGGCUUCGGGGAUAUCCGGCUGGCCCCUUUGGAGAGAGAAGCACGGCAGAGAGGAACGCUGAGAGGAAAAGAAUUGUUCUGAGACGAAAACUGCAGUCUUUUCCCGGGGAAAAUGGUAAACACUCUCCACACUGAUGAGGAAAAGGGAAUCCAAGACAAGGAAAGUAAGGAGGAGAGCAUCUUGGCCAUGCUGGGGAUCAUUGGAACCAUUCUCAACUUGGUUGUCAUCAUCUUUGUCUACAUCUACACCACCCUGUAGGUCUCUAUCUCCUGCUGUACUUCAUCAGCGGGCAGAUGAGAGAUCAUCUGUGUCAAUGCGAUGGCCAUAUUGCAUCCAUCCUGCAUCCCUUUAAACAACUUAGUCGAUGGGAAACGGACUCGUUCCUUUUGCCUUUACUGGUGAAAUAGUCCAACAUGCCGUGAGACAUUUAACUUGUACAUAAAUGCCCGACGAUACCGCUUUUCUCAACCACAUGGACAUCAAGGAUUGCAGAGGGUGGACGUGAAAAUAUGU